UGCCAUAUGCCCAUAAAGUUCUCUAGGUGCAACUUAGGUCCUGGACUCGUGGUGCGAGACAUUGCUCUAUCUACAACCAAAUAAGUUCGUUUCCAUAAAAAAAGUAUCUUUACUAUCGUUUUUAAACCGUGGUAAGCCAUUUAUAAUCUCGUCAUACUUUUGGUCAUUUUGAUGUAUUAGCCUCCAGACCCUAUAUUUGGCCGAUUUUGACCCACGUGUACAUGAAGCACCGCCUCAAGGCCCUGAGAUGUUUUAGUUUUUUCCAGUUGUGUCGAACCGUUUUAAAAUUGAAGCCGUAUGAUAUGCCUUUGGUUGGAUUCGAAUAGUAAUGGUAGUAUAUGUUGUUCAUUAGCAUGAUAUCUAUUUUGUUGUCUAUGUUUGGAAUUCUAUUGCAUAAAGGUUGGUGUUGGGCACUGUUAGCAUAAAAAAUAAAUCUUUAUUGUAUUUAAAAGAUACAGUUCAUGUGAUUAUAGUGAAUAGUACUCAAUUAGCUUUUUAUAAUUCUUGCAUUUAUGCGCCAUUGUGACAAUGUCUUCCCCAAAUUGACUUUCUAUCCACAAAUAUCGUGUUCUUAUGUUUGAUACUUGCAGUUCGAAUACAUGAAUUCUUUAGGUCAAUAGUCGUAUGUAGGCUGUAAACGAACAUGAACAAGGCCUUGUCCGUGUUCGAUCAUUAAGGAAUUAGCAUGUUUAUGAAUAGUUCACGAACGAGAUUUCUUGUUUGUGUUAGUUCAUUAAGGAAAUGAACAUGUUCAUGAACAUUAUUGAACGUAAAUAAACACAAACAAAUGUUCAUGAACAUAAGUGAACACAAACCAACGUUAUAUAUUCAUAUUGAUAUAAAAUAUGCAUUUUUUCGUUUUUUAAAAAAUAGUUUACCUAAACCCCAUUAGGUAAACCACCGCCAAUGUUUUUGAGCAUUAGGUAACUUAUUUAGGUGAAUUGACAUGGCAAUGUGUGAUUGAGUGAAUUAGGAGUUUACCUAUUUGGAAUAGGUAAACACUCCCUUCACCCUAAACAUAGUUAACACAAAGAUUAAGAAGUGUGUCAAGCUUUAACACAAACUGAAAUUCAAAUGGUCAAAUGAGGGAUGUUGGCGGAGACGUAUAGUAUAACGAUGGUUUCAAAUUUUUAAAAACUAAAACCAAUAAAAUAUAAAUUAACCUAAAAAAGCUUUUAAAUGAAUGAACACAAAUGAACAUAAACAAGUGAACAUAAAUGAACACAUUUCCGAACGUUCACGAACAUAAAGGAACGAACGCAGCCUUUGUUCAUGUUCGUUUGUUUAACUUAUCGAACGAAAUUUCGUGUUCGUGUUUGUUCAUUUAUUAAAAUAAGAACAUAAACAAACUUCCCGCCGAACGGUUCACGAACUAUUUACUAAACGUUCGGUUUGUUUAUAGCCCUAGUCUUUUGUUUCUUUGCACCGGAGGAAUUAGAUAAUUUGAUUCUAAUAGUUUGAUAAGAUGUAGACCUCUGUUUUUUUCUUCUUUUGGUUUUUAGUUAUUAGUUUUGUGAAUAGUGGAUUAUAUUGGUGUUUAGGUUGUGUUUGUGGAUUCAGUUAUUUAAUGCUAGCUAAUUACAUUUUUUUUAAUGGCAAAUGUUACUUCUACUAUAAAUUAUACCAAUAAAUCUACGUUACACCAUUGCCUAGAUUUGAACCUAGGACCUCCCCUCCAAGAGACACAAGCCUCUACCAAGUAGGCUACCCCACAUUGGCGCUAGCUAAUUACAUGAUAUCCGUGUUUUCUUAAGUUGUUCUUAGUUAUGCAGGACAAAUAAGUUAAUGAAAAUUGACUUAUAUCCGGUUCUGAAUCCAUCUGCAAUUUAGAAUACGAUUCAGCUUUGUACUAUACUUUAGAGACUGAAAAUGACUUUGGUUUUCCUUGUUAAAGUUCUUUUUUUGCAACAUAUGUCAUAACUCUGUAUAGUUCUGCAGGUGCAACUUAGGUCCCGAACACGAGUUCUCUAGCUGUAACUUAGGUCCUGGACGCGUGUCGCGUGGUGUUGCUCUAUGUACGGCCAAAUAAGUUAUAUAUGCAACAAAAAGUUGUAUCUUUGCCAUCUCUUUUACGUAUCAGAUGGAGCAUUUAACUUUAUUGUUGAAAUUUGGAAUAAUGGAUUUUAAUAAACCCAACUAUUAGUUGUUGGCCGACAACGGUCUCAACUUCAAAAAUAACUAGUGGUGGUCCCACCUUUUCACAUAUUGAAAACUAACGGACUUUUGCUAAAAGAACUUUAAUUUAUUUUUGUCUCCUUUUCCUUUUCUAUUAGCAAAGGUCCAUUGGUUUACAAUAUGGGAAAAGGUGGGACCACUACUGGUUAUUUUUUAAGUUGGGACCGUUGCUGACCAACGGCAUAUAGUUGGGAUUAUUAAAAUCCAUUAUUCCUUGAAAUUUCUAAAGAAACAAGUGCAAAAGUGGAGGUUGCUACUGAUGAAGUAUUCGCCCUCAUUAAGCAAGAUACCAAAAAAAGGGAAACUUAGAUGCUACCCAAAUUCUCUAUUAGUUUUCCGGAUUAAAUCACCAAUGCGUUUUGAGCGUAUUGGCUGUGGAGCAGAAGUCCACAGUUAAGCGUGCUCAUUGGGGCAAAGCGGACGAUAUUGGUGGUACGAGAGGCAGGUAUGUUACACAAGAACUCUUUUACUUGAAUUUGUUUUUAUAUGGCUCACAUUUUCUAACCCAUGAGAAAACACUUCGUAUGUGGUUCACAUGUUACAUCAUUUCGUUCACAUUUUUUCUCAUGUCAUACGAAUGCAGGUCAAACCUUUGGAAUCUUUUUUCAAUACAUGUGGUUCACAUGCCAUCCAGAUCUAGGCUUAUAUAAAUUCUUUUCUUUUCUAGUAUGUAAGCAACUCAAAUUACUUGGAUACAUGUAAAGUGAUCGUUAAUUCACAGUGGUCUCUGGCUUGCUUGGUACAGUUCCGGAAUAGUUCAGCCUAACUAGUCCCGGGAUGUACCAAACAAGUCUGAGAUACCAGUGACUCAAGUUCUAUGUCUCACGAGUUGGGUCUGAGGCGGUUUGACAUGAGUUGGUUGGUUUUGUCGGAAUUUAACAUUUUGGGAAAGUUGAAAGUUAUUGAUGUUUUCUAGACAUGGUAAUCAGAUUUUUUGCA